rnacentral:rRNA from 1 species
UACGUAGGGGGCAAGCGUUGUCCGGAAUCAUUGGGCGUAAAGCGCGCGUAGGCGGCCCGGUAAGUCCGUUGUGAAAGUCAAAGGCUCAACCUUUGAACGCCGAUGGAUACUGCCGGGCUAGAGUCCGGAAGAGGCGAGUGGAAUUCCUGGUGUAGCGGUGGAAUGCGCAGAUAUCAGGAAGAACACCCGUGGCGAAGGCGGUUCUCUGGGACGGUACUGACGCUGAGACGCGAAAGCGUGGGGAGCGAACAGG